rnacentral:rRNA from 1 species
GACGAACGCUGGCGGCGUGCUUAACACAUGCAAGUCGAACGGAAAGGCCCUGCUUUUGUGGGGUUCUCGAUUGGCGAAGGGGUGAGUAACACGUGUGUAACCUGCACCUGACUUUGGGAUAACUUCAGGAAACUGGGGCUAAUACCCGAUAUGAGCUCCUGCUGCAUGGUGUGGGUUGGAAAGUUUCGGCGGUUGGGGAUGGACUCGCGGCUUAUCAGCUUGUUGGUGGGGUAGUGGCUUACCAGGGCUUUGACGGGUAGCCGGCCUGAGAGGGUGACCGGCCACAUUGGGCCUGAGAUACGGCCCAGACGCCUACGGGAGGCAAGAGUGGGGAAUCUUGCAGAAUGGGCGGAAGCCUGAUGCAGAAACGCCGCGUGCGGGAUGACGGCCUUCGGGUUGUAAACCGCUUUCGCAGGUGACGAAGAGUGAUUGACGGUAAUUAGUAAAGAAGCACCGGCUAACUACGUG